ACUCCCCACACACCCGCUCAGGCCUGCGCUAGCCAGGUGCGGGAUAGCGCGAGUGACCUACGGGUGUGCGGGUCGUCCUUCUGCGUCGUACCCCGAUCGCCAUCUCGACUUCUCGCGUGCUAGAUGUAGGUACUAGCUUGAAUGAUUUGAUGAUGCCGCGUCCGUGGGUGAUCCUAUAGCUUUGACCAACUGGUAGACACAUCACAUGGGUAACCGUGGUCCCACUGGUCUACAGUAUAUCAUAUGGGUACCCGUAGGGCCGUAACCACGGAACCGGCAUACAUCUAAGGCUGAGGUUUAUACAGCGCACUUUGACUUUGCUCAGACUUAAGACACUGAUAAAAGGCGACAGUGUUAUAUAGCUGGCGUACAUUUGUCUCGUUUUAUCUGAAAUUGAGCUAAGUCAAUUUACCCUCUAAAGAUCUCAGCCUAAGUUAUCUAAGCACCAACCUAAUUAGUUAUCUUUUAUGCCAAUUUCAGAAAAUCAAUUCUAUGCACUAUGUCUAACUGUCAAUAUUUUUCAAACUUGAACGCUAUGGAGAAAGGAAAACAAAAACAAUGAAAACUUUUAAAGUCUUUAUUUAAUUAAAUCAAACAGAUGUAACUAUACUAAUACCAACAGUUUUUGACCACUGGUUCCCUACUUUUAAUAUUUAAUACGUAUUUAUUAUGUCACAGAACUAACCGCUCUAAACACUAACUAGUUAUGUAGGUACUUAAUCUAUGUUAAAAAUACCUUAAAGACAAAUUAAUAUUACAAAAAUCGACAUAGGAAUAGGAACUUUAAAAUGACGUGCUUAUUCAUAACGCUCGGAAAUGAAGUACCUAGUAGGCAUUGUAUGUACGUAUUCUAUAUUCUAAAAAAACAUAAAAUCUAAUAAGUACUUUUGACAAUAGUAGGUAUUUCCAAUAAUUAAACUACGCUAAAUAUGUAGGUCCGUGAUAAAUACCUACAGUUGGUUCGCUAAAAGAGAACAUCGAAGAAGCAAAGUGAUAAAACACCUAGGUAAUUGUGAUAAGUAAAAAAACACUGAAUCAGCCAAGUGUUCAGUCUACCUACCCUAAAUAACCUGUGGUAAUAUUUUCAUUUUCAUAAUAUAAAACAAGAUUUUAAGAGAUCAAGAAGCCACAGUUUUCCGGAAAAAUUUAUAAUUACUGAAGGCUUGAGUCAAAGAUUCUAUCUAGCAACGACUUUUAGGUAGUUAUUAUACGUUAUACAUAUGUAUUUAAUAUUAUACUUAAAUGUUUUU